rnacentral:misc_RNA from 1 species
UCCGGUUUGUCACCGGCAGUCCCAUUAGAGUGCCCAACUGAAUGUGGCAACUAAUGGCAAGGGUUGCGCUCGUUGCGGGACUUAACCCAACAUUUCACAACACGAGCUGACGACGGCCAUGCAGCACCUGUCAUUAGGCUCCCGAAGGCACCCCUCUGUUUCCAGAAGGUUCCUAAGAUGUCAAGCCUGGGUAAGGUUCUGCGCGUAGCGUCAUAUUAAACCACAUCAUACUCUGCUUGUGCGGGUCCCCGUCAAUUCCUUUGAGUUUUAACCUUGCGGCCGUACUCCCCAGGCGGUCAACUUCACGCGUUAGCUUCGUUACCAAGGAAUUGCUUCCCCGACAACCAGUUGACAUAGUUUAGGGCGUGGACUAC